UUUUAUGAGAGUUUGAUCCUGGCUCAGGACGAACGCUGGCGGCGUGCCUAAUACAUGCAAGUCGAACGCUUCUUUUUCCACCGGAGCUUGCUCCACCGGAAAAAGAAGAGUGGCGAACGGGUGAGUAACACGUGGGUAACCUGCCCAUCAGAAGGGGAUAACACUUGGAAACAGGUGCUAAUACCGUAUAACAAUCAAAACCGCAUGGUUUUGAUUUGAAAGGCGCUUUCGGGUGUCGCUGAUGGAUGGACCCGCGGUGCAUUAGCUAGUUGGUGAGGUAACGGCUCACCAAGGCCACGAUGCAUAGCCGACCUGAGAGGGUGAUCGGCCACAUUGGGACUGAGACACGGCCCAAACUCCUACGGGAGGCAGCAGUAGGGAAUCUUCGGCAAUGGACGAAAGUCUGACCGAGCAACGCCGCGUGAGUGAAGAAGGUUUUCGGAUCGUAAAACUCUGUUGUUAGAGAAGAACAAGGAUGAGAGUAACUGUUCAUCCCUUGACGGUAUCUAACCAGAAAGCCACGGCUAACUACGUGCCAGCAGCCGCGGUAAUACGUAGGUGGCAAGCGUUGUCCGGAUUUAUUGGGCGUAAAGCGAGCGCAGGCGGUUUCUUAAGUCUGAUGUGAAAGCCCCCGGCUCAACCGGGGAGGGUCAUUGGAAACUGGGAGACUUGAGUGCAGAAGAGGAGAGUGGAAUUCCAUGUGUAGCGGUGAAAUGCGUAGAUAUAUGGAGGAACACCAGUGGCGAAGGCGGCUCUCUGGUCUGUAACUGACGCUGAGGCUCGAAAGCGUGGGGAGCAAACAGGAUUAGAUACCCUGGUAGUCCACGCCGUAAACGAUGAGUGCUAAGUGUUGGAGGGUUUCCGCCCUUCAGUGCUGCAGCUAACGCAUUAAGCACUCCGCCUGGGGAGUACGACCGCAAGGUUGAAACUCAAAGGAAUUGACGGGGGCCCGCACAAGCGGUGGAGCAUGUGGUUUAAUUCGAAGCAACGCGAAGAACCUUACCAGGUCUUGACAUCCUUUGACCACUCUAGAGAUAGAGCUUCCCCUUCGGGGGCAAAGUGACAGGUGGUGCAUGGUUGUCGUCAGCUCGUGUCGUGAGAUGUUGGGUUAAGUCCCGCAACGAGCGCAACCCUUAUUGUUAGUUGCCAUCAUUCAGUUGGGCACUCUAGCAAGACUGCCGGUGACAAACCGGAGGAAGGUGGGGAUGACGUCAAAUCAUCAUGCCCCUUAUGACCUGGGCUACACACGUGCU
rnacentral:rRNA from 1 species